rnacentral:rRNA from 1 species
CCUACGGGAGGCUGCAGUGGGGAAUAUUGGACAAUGGGGGGAACCCUGAUCCAGCCAUGCCGCGUGUGUGAAGAAGGCCCUCGGGUUGUAAAGCACUUUCAGUGAGGAAGAACGCCUGGUGGUUAAUACCCAUCAGGAAAGACAUCACUCACAGAAGAAGCACCGGCUAACUCCGUGCCAGCAGCCGCGGUAAUACGGAGGGUGCGAGCGUUAAUCGGAAUUACUGGGCGUAAAGCGCGCGUAGGUGGCUUGAUAAGCCGGUUGUGAAAGCCCCGGGCUCAACCUGGGAACGGCAUCCGGAACUGUCAAGCUAGAGUGCAGGAGAGGAAGGUAGAAUUCCCGGUGUAGCGGUGAAAUGCGUAGAGAUCGGGAGGAAUAACAGUGGCGAAGGCGGCCUUCUGGACUGACACUGACACUGAGGUGCGAAAGCGUGGGUAGCAAACAGGAUUAGAUACCCUAGUAGUC